rnacentral:lncRNA from 1 species
UUUCACAAAUGCUACAAAUUUCAUCAUUUUGCAUGGGUUUAACUUCCUUUACUUUCCUUAAUUCCAUAGCUUCAACCUUUCUAGACAAACAAUCAAUCCUAGCAUUUAGAUCAUCAUCUUGACGCAAUUGAUAUUUUCCUCCACUAGAACUAGCAAGACUAGAUCUAAUUGAGUUUUCUAUUGGUUUUACUGUUUGCCAAGAUUGAGAAUUUUCAGCUAGAUGAUCUAGAAAUUCCAAAGCUUCAUCUGGAUCUUUAUCUAAAAAUUCACCAUUGCACAUCGUUUCUACAAAUUGUUUUGUUUCAGGAGUUAGGCCCUUAUAAAAGAAACUUAUAGUACGCCAUUUAUCAAAACCAUGAUGUGGGCAUGUAU